AUAGCGUAUAUUAAAGUUGUUGAGGUUAAAAAGCUCGUAGUUGAAGUUUGGUCUCGGAUGCUGGGUCUGCUUAAUUGCAAGUACUUGGCAAGCCGAGACUUCCUUCCUGGUGAACAGCCGUGGUUUUCUGCGGUUUGGGAACCAGGAGCAUUACUUUGAAAAAAUUAGAGUGUUCAAAGCAGGCCAACGGCCCGAAUAUAUUAGCAUGGAAUAACAGAAUAGGACGUGCGGUUCUAUUUUGUUGGUUUAGAACUGCCGUAAUGAUUAAUAGGGACAGCCGGGGGCAUUAGUAUUCGCACGCUAGAGGUGAAAUUCUUGGAUUGUG
rnacentral:rRNA from 1 species